rnacentral:rRNA from 1 species
GACGAACGCUGGCGGCGUGCCUAAUACAUGCAAGUCGAGCGAACAGACGCGUAGCUUGCUCCUUGAACGAGAGCCGCAAGCGGGGGUAUGACAUGUGGAUAACCUACCUAUUAGACUGCAAACUCCUCGAGAAACCGGCGCUGCUCGCGGAGAAUAUACUGAGCCACAGGGUUCGAUAGUGAAUGACGGCUUUCACGUCCAUUAUAGAUGGAUCCGCGCCGCGUUGGAUAGUUGGUAAGGUAACGGCUUACCAAGGCAACUAUGCGUAGCCGACCUGAGAGGGUGAUCGGCCACACGGGAGAGGGGACACGGUCCAGACUCCUACGGGAGGCAGCAGUAGGGAAUCUUCCGCAAUGGGCGAAAGCCUGACGGAGCAACGCCGCGUGAGUGAUGAAGGUCUUCGGAUCGUAAAACUCGGUUAUUAGGGGAGAACAAAUGUGUAAGUAACUAUGCACGUCUUGACGGUACCUAAUCAGAAAGCCACGGCUAACUACGUG